UUUGCAUUUUACUUACAAAUUUAAAUUUCCAGUUUGAGCUAUAAUUCUUAAAAUGUAUUGGUAAAUGGAUCUUUCGAAUUACUGGCCUAGUUUAAACCAGGUGAUUACAUUCCUAGGUCACUUUCAGUGGUUCAUAGUAAGGCUAUAAAACCUAGCUGUGGAUACAAUCCACGAAGAAAGAUGAUCUUGCACUGUUAAUGUAGGCAUAUCAAUCAACCAGAUUACAUGACAGGCCAGUGUUAAACAACACAUUUCUAGCCUUGAACAAUGAUAGAUCUAUUUGAAAACUGCCAGGAACGGUGCAGCUGUUUAAACUUUUUUCGCAACCUUUUCUCCACGUUACGCCCUCGCAAAUAGUCAAAAACGUUCUUAACAAAGCCUGCCGAAACACUUAAGUACAAGAGUGUUGUGCUUUCAAAGCAGUGAAUAAACUAAACGUUGGAAAAUUAAAAAAGAAACAGGGUAACCCAGUUCGAACGAGAGGACGUGGUGUUUGUUUAUCGUAACGGUAAGAUGCAAACUGGGUUAUUGUGAUUAGAAAUCGUGUUACCUAGCCUCUGUAUUUGGUGUUUUUGUCGUGACCAACAACAGUGGCAUCGGGAUUCGCCUUCAAAAUAAGUCACCCAUUAACUUGCAAACGGAUUUUAAAAAACAAAUUGGAAUUAUGCCACAAUUGUUCUAAACAAGGUUGUAAUGUUAUACACAUUCAGCCUACUCGGGAACACAAAAUGACGUUUACACAUGUUCGCGUUGUAGCUCUUAUUGUAGUACUUAAACUAUGGACAAUCGCCUCACUAUUCAACCUAUUGUACUUGUUGAACAUUCAUAUUAGGCAAAACUAGGCAAAUUGUAUAUUACCCCCAUUUCAUGGACUCAAGAUCAAUGGGUAUCAGCUUACUUUCAAUUUCAUGGACCCAAUAUCCGUAGGUAAGGUUCAGCCCGUUCUCUUGAGGUGGAGUUAAAGUUUUGAUUGCUGGUCGCGGGAUUUGGUAGCAACAACAUUGGGUCUCUGUCAGUCGAUUCUUGUAAAAGUGUCAAUUCUGAAAACGCUUACCUGCACAACUGCGGUUUUUCCGCGGGGUGCUGAAAUUCAUAUUUUUUGUUGAAAGGAUACAACCUCCCAAGUUUUUCUCGUUUGUGUUGCACAAAUCCGCACGCAUAUGCCAAUUGAAUCUCCGUUUACGUAGUACGACCGACACACGAGGAAGAAGUCAGUGGUUUUAUUUGAUAAGAGUUUAAAGUAUGAAAUUUCAGGACCGCAGUUGUAAAGGGUAAACCGGUAAUGUAGGCGUUUUCAGAAUUGACUGAAGGUGACUGUUGUUGCUAGCAAAUCCCGCGACUGGUUAUCCAAACUCAACUAUUAAAAAAAAAGGAGAGGAGUUGAGCGUUACUCAACUAUAACCAAGGCUGUACAUUUCAAGAUGAAUGUUAAAUACACACAAUAGGCUGAACAGUUAGGUGAUUUCCAACAGUUGAAGUCCCGCAAUAAGAGAGACGAUAAUGUUUAUAACCUGUGGGUGACGCUGAGUAGGCCGGACCAAAGAUCCAGAGAUAAGGCUGUACAAUGCAAUGUUAUCUGUCUAAUACAUCCACCGUGCGAUUUCAACUCACUAUACUUUAUCUGUGUCAAAUUAACGGCAUUCUGUUUAAUUUAUACAACAUUUCAAACUUGUUUAGCAUUAACUAGUCCAAUUGGCAUGAUUCCAUUAUUUGUAUCAGUUUCAAUGGGGGACUUUUAUUUUGAACGCUAACCGCCGAUGCCGUAUAUUUAUAUGUACAUAUUCUUAUUAAUUCCUUUACACUUGUGUGUAUAAGGUAGCUGUUGUGAAAUUGUUAGAUAUUGCUGCAUGGUCGGAACUAGAAGCAUUUCGCUACACUCGCAUUAACAUCUGCUAACCAUGUGUAUGUGACCAAUCCGAUUUGAUCCUCACACUGACGUUGUUCACGACACAGGCACUUCUUCCGCGCUUGUAAAGGUGUCCGCAUGCUUCCCAGUCGAAACAGUUCGUGCAUAUAUUAUGUUUGUGGACUUCGUUGAGGGUUCUGGAGAUAAGCCGAAGUUCGGAGCCGAAGUCUACUGAUCAUUUUCCAUCAAUGGAUGUUUUUUUAUUUCUCCGUUAUUUUACCAGGUAAAUUGACUGAGAACAAGUUCUCAUUUACAACAACGAUGUGGGGAAUAGUUACAGGGGAGAGGUGGGGGAUGAAUGAGCCAAUUGUAAACUGGCGAUUAUUAGGUGACCAUGAUGGUUUGAGGGCCAGAUUGGGAAUUUAGCCAGGACACUAGGGUUAACACCCCUACGAUAAGUGCCAUGGGAUCUUUAAUUACCCUAGAGAGCCCCAUCCGAAAGACUGCACCCUACACAGGGCAGUGUCCCCAAUCACUGCCUUGGGGAUUGAGAUAUUUUUUAGACCAGAGGAAAGAGUGCCUCCUACUGGCCCUCCAACACCACUUCCAGCAGCAUCUGGUCUCCCAUCCAGGGACUGACCAGGACCAACCCUGCUUAGCUUCAGAAGCAAGUCACCACCAAGCAAGUGGCACUAUGAAGACUAAGGAGCUCUCCAAACAGGUACUGACAGGAGGCGUGACGAGGACGCUGAUCCAGUGGACCUGGUGCCAGUAAGGAUGGUCGUCACGGAGACGAUAAGACCGUCCAGGAUAGAGAAAUCCUUCGACUUCACUGCCUCUUCAAUGGUAAGGUCCCUUGCACCAUAGGGACACUUGACCUCCACCACUGCUGUGGUGCCCACCAGACCAUCCGGUGAGGCACCCAGGAUACCAGACCCCGUGACCCAAAGCCCUGACUCCUGCAACUCCAUCCUGUAGCCAUUUUGAAUGCCUUGAUGUCCUCCUCUUUGUUAUCUGUGCUCCACUUUACAGACAACACCACAUCCAAUGACUGUGAUCUGAGGACCCUUUUUUUAGCAGCGAGGGAGUAACGUGCUUGGCCCUAACUGCUGCGCCAAAUGUCUGGCCGUCAACCUCCCUCUCCUUAUGAUGUGCCAGUUGGGGUUUGGUACACUGUCCCAACUGUUGCCUGUUGUAUAGCAUCCUGCUGCUCCACCGACAUCGACAUGCUCCAGGUGCCUUUAAAAAAAGAAAUGUUUGGUACAGACAUGCCAUUCCACUGAACCUGCCCCAGAGAUGGUUCCCUAGCCACUGAAGAUCCUCCUCUGUGGGCUCUAGGGACAGAGACUUAGUCGUCUUCGGCCGGGUAAAGAUCCUCCACGGACUGCAUCUGGUUGGGCACAAGUGGCUUCCUCCACUCACAUUACACAUCCAUACAGCCGAUAUUGUGAACCGCAAAAGUAGCCAAUGCAGUUGCAUGGCUGCACUUGGGAGCUCCAUGGGAGUAUUCACAUGUGGUAGAGAGAAUCCCCUGGUCACCUAUAGAGACCUGCCAAGAGGAAAGUGCUAUAUGCAUGACUUUGAACACCUUGAAAUGCAUUUGUUGUAAGAAAUGUGCUAUAUUUAUUGAACAAAAAUGUAAACAAUCAUACAAUUUCAACGAUUCUGAGUUACAGCUCAAAUAUAAGGAAAUAAUUGCAUCAUUGCAAUUGAAAUAGUCAUUAGGCCCUUCCCACAUGACUGGGAAGGGGCGCAGCCUUGGGUGGGCAUAGGCCCAGCCAAUCAGAAUGAGUUUUUCCCCACAAAAGGGCAUUAUUACAGACAGAAAUACUCCCCAGUAUCAUCAGCUGCAGAAAAGCCAGCAAAUUCACAUGCAAUAAGUAAAUGUUCAUCUACUGACUGGUUUAUGCUACAGAGUGGACAGUGUUGUCCCCAGUGAUGCCAGUUUGAUUUUUUGAAGCUUAAUGUUUGAGAUUUCAUCCCAGCAUUUAGAAUGUGAGGUUCUGAGGCUUAUAAUUUUCAUGUUCAUGUUCAUGGUUUCAGACGAUCCCACAGAUGAAGAAGCUGGAAGUGGAGGUCCUGGGCUGUCCUGGUUACACAUGGUCUGUGGAUGUGAGGCCAGUUGGAUGUACUGCCAAAUUAUCUUACAAAGUUGGAGGCGGCUUAUGGUUUCAUUGUCCCCCAGCACAAGGUGCACCUGUGUAAUGAUCAUGCCGUUUAAUCAGCUUGAUAUGCCACACCUGUCAGGUGGAUGGAUUAUAUUGGCAAAGGAGAAAUGCUCACCAACAGGGAUGUAGACAAAUUUGUACACAUUUUGUGCAUAUGGAACAUUUCUGGGAUUUAUUAUUUCAGCUCGUGAAACAUGGGACUAACACUUUACAUGUUGCCUUUUAUAUUUUUAUUCAGUAUAAAGUUAUUUGAUUGAUUAACAUUUCAGCUGUAAAAUAUUUAACAAG
ensembl:lncRNA